rnacentral:rRNA from 1 species
AGAACGAACGCUGGCGGCAUGCCUAAUACAUGCAAGUCGAACGAAGGCUUCGGCCUUAGUGGCGCACGGGUGCGUAACGCGUGGGAAUCUGCCCCUUGGUUCGGAAUAACAGUUGGAAACGACUGCUAAUACCGGAUGAUGACGAAAGUCCAAAGAUUUAUCGCCAAGGGAUGAGCCCGCGUAGGAUUAGCUAGUUGGUGAGGUAAAGGCUCACCAAGGCGACGAUCCUUAGCUGGUCUGAGAGGAUGAUCAGCCACACUGGGACUGAGACACGGCCCAGACCUCCUACGGGAGCAG